GAAGUAGCUGGUUUACACCAUAAUUAUUUGGGGUUGCUCAUGGCUUUGUGGUGUGCAGGUUCCUCAUAUGGCAUGCAGGCAACUAUGGCCUAAGGACUGAAUGCACUUUGUUUGUGCUCCUGCUUGCAGUGCCUCUAGGAAGAAGCACCCGCAGUUCCCACUGACUACGACAGGCCUUGGGGUGGCUGUGCCCAGGAGACUGCAGUUUCAUCCUGGGAGUCCAAAGAAACCAGCAGUGCCAGCGUGACCCUGCCAAGCUCUGGAAGGGCGCGUGUGGGACCUGGGAUGUCCAGUGCCUUCCCGCAGCGCUCGCCCGGCACCAUCGCUCCUGCAGCAGGGUGGGUGGAUGGAUGGCUUCCCCUGCUGCUUGCAUGCUGCAGGGGCCUCAGCACCAUGUCAUGAUGGCAGCGUCACAAGGCAGCUGCUGUUGAAGGUACCACUGCUUAUUUAUGUGCUAGCACCUUGUGGAAUACCAACUAAUUCUGCUAUUUCUACCCUAAUUCUUAUGUAGUUUGCUCACACAUGUUUAGAUGUAACUGCUGUGUGUCUGUAGAGUUUCUUACCCAGCAGUGCUGUACUCUGCACCAGCAGCAGCACAAGUGCUACCUGUUUUCUGUGCAAGAAAGCCCAGCUGUUCCUCUGAGCACAUCCAGCCCUCAGAGGGCCCUGCAGGCAGUGAGUAACUCCUCGGGCUAGCAGCUGAGCACACGUGCUGUACAAGCAGAACUUAGUAGUAUGGGGAAGUUUAAACGUACACCAUUGCAGAUAGGGACAUCCCAUAAUCUCACGGGCAGGGGGAACAGACGUUGCUGCAAGAUUUGCAUAGCUUUGCAUCUUGUUCCUACAUGAUCUCUUGACCUCUUCCUUUCUCGGGGCUUUUCUGCUUUCAAAGUAAAGUGAUCCUCAGGGUAGUCUGUGGAUGACACUGCCUUCUCCUACUGUUUCUGACUUGUCCCUAUGGCACAAGGACCACUCCUUUUCCCUAAGAAUAAUCCUUUACAAAUGCACAUUUUAUGUGGGGAGGAAGAGUACAAAUCCUAUGUCUGAGACACAUGGAAGGGAGGAAAGAGGGUUAUAUGAGUCCCACAAGAUCAAUGGCUUUUGUGUUCAGGGGAAAGCUCAAAACUCAGGGAGAAGUUACAUUACUUUUUCAGUGGUCCUCACAGUCUUUCAGCAGCAUUGACCCAAGCAGCUCCCCCUCACCUACUGCCACUGUGUAGGACAGGGGAGCCCAGCAUGCCACACAUGGCUGCCAGGCCGUACGCUGCCAUCCCCGCCCUGCUCCUGCAUUGGGCACCCUCAGCCUUUGCCACCACUUUGCCUCCAGUGCAGAGACCCAGAGCCUGCUGAUCCUGGCCUGGAUACACAGAGGAAUUUCUACAUUCCAGCAGGAAAAGGCAGAAUUUAGGUACAUAUUCAAUCACCCUGACAAAAUGCCAGGAGGUGCUAGUCCAGAGUAGGUCUGUUCUUCCCUACACUCAUCCUUGGAAACUGAUCUGAAACUUAAAAAUGUGGAAGAAAUAUCACAAAGCAGAUAAUAGACAUGAAACUUAAGAAACCUGAAAUUCUGUGAGGUGACAAGCAACCGAAACCAUGGUCCUCCACUGGGAAGUGCCAUUAAUGGCAGGCAAAUUACUUAGCCCUGCCUCAGAUACUUUGCGUGCAGAGCCAGGUUACAGGAACCUCAUACCACAAAGUAAUUUACAUUGGGACUUUGAAGCAUGCGAGAUGCUAUCGUGCUUUCGCCUACUGUGAGAUAAGAGCGUGCACAGCAGGCGGUACCUAUGAGGAGCUUAAGCUUUCUUAAUCACACCGAUCGUUUAAACUGUCAUAGUUUAUUCCGGGUAAAGCAGUCAUUAAAUUACCAGGAUGGUGGUUUUGUUUAUUUAAAUUUAUAUAUUUUACUGUGCUGAGAUAAGAGGCAAAAUAUGGUUUAAGUCACAAAGAUCCAGAUAUAUCAAGUUGGUCGUAGCAAGAUAAAAUUAGAUUCUAAUAUAAUACAGUGAUGAAACAAUUUUUGUUUAGCCCUGAAACAUCUAUGUAAGUAAUGCUUGU